GGGCCCUACGGGAGGCAGCAGUGAGGAAUAUUGGUCAAUGGGCGGGAGCCUGAACCAGCCAAGUCGCGUGAAGGAAGAAGGUACUUAGUAUUGUAAACCUCUUUUGUCGGGGAGCAAAAGCCGGACGUGUCCGGCUGUGAGAGUACCCGAAGAAAAAGCAUCGGCUAACUCCGUGCCAGCAGCCGCGGUAAUACGGAGGAUGCGAGCGUUAUCCGGAUUUAUUGGGUUUAAAGGGUGCGUAGGCGGUCCGUUAAGUCAGCGGUAAAAUGUCGGGGCUCAACCCCGGCCGGCCGUUGAAACUGGUU
rnacentral:rRNA from 1 species